GGUGAUGAAGGUGAUUGAGACAUUUGACACCCCAUUGGCUAAUAGGGUUGAUGCAACUGAUAGGGUUGAUGCAACUGAUCCGACUGGCUCAGUAGGUGUCUUCUUCCUCUAUCAUCCCUCCAUAUUCAUCUUGUCCAAAUCUGUACACCCAGUUCAAGAGGAAGACCUUCCCAGAUAAAGGAGGAAGGUCAAGGGUAUAUACCAGGAGAUGCACACCCCAGCUAGAACUGCUAGAUAAGCUCUCAAGGUCCAACAGUUUCUGGGAGUUCAGGAAGCUAAAUGUGUGGGGGUGAAUCCCACCCCUUCCUCUACAGGGAUUUAAAAAAAAAAAGGCUUAUUUAUUAUGU
ensembl:misc_RNA Gm22820 predicted gene, 22820